GAAUUCUAGUGCUAUUCCUUCCUCUUCUCUCUAGACUUUACGAAACCCUCCUCUUCCUAGUGCUUGCUGAAAGUAUUUAUGCAAUUUGCCAAUCGAUGAAGAAUUGACUUGGUGGUGUGUGAAGUCUAUCAAUUUGAAUAUCUGAGCAUGGAUAAAGUAUCACCAGACUGUCCAUACCCAGGAUGCUUUUUCUGUGUCAUGAAGGAAGGAAAUCCAAGCAAACGCAGAGCAAGUAUAUUAAAAUUUUUUAGGGAACUUCCUUCACAGGAUGACGACGGC
rnacentral:misc_RNA from 1 species